rnacentral:rRNA from 2 species
AAGAUUAAGCCAUGCAUGUCUAAGUAUAAGCAACUAUACUGUGAAACUGCGAAUGGCUCAUUAAAUCAGUUAUCGUUUAUUUGAUAGUGCCCUUUACUACUUGGAUAACCGUGGUAAUUCUAGAGCUAAUACAUGCAUCAAGCCUCGACUUCGGGAGAGGCGUAUUUAUUAGAUAAAAAACCAACGCCCUUCGGGGCUGCUUGGUGAGUCAUGAUAACGCAACGAAUCGCAUGGCCUUGCGCCGGCGAUGGUUCAAUCAAAUUUCUGCCCUAUCAACUUUCGAUUGUAGUUUAGUGGACUACAAUGGUUUCAACGGGUAACGGGGAAUUAGGGUUCGAUUCCGGAGAGGGAGCCUGAGAAACGGCUACCACAUCCAAGGAAGGCAGCAGGCGCGCAAAUUACCCAAUCCCGACACGGGGAGGUAGUGACAAUAAAUACUGAUACAGGGCUCUUUUGGGUCUUGUAAUUGGAAUGAGUGCAAUCUAAAUCCAUCAACGAGGAACAAUUGGAGGGCAAGUCUGGUGCCAGCAGCCGCGGUAAUUCCAGCUCCAAUAGCGUAUAUUAAAGUUGUUGCAGUUAAAAAGCUCGUAGUUGAACCUUGGGCCUGGCUGACCGGUCCGCCUCACCGCGUGCACUGGUUCGGCCGGGUCUUUCCUUCUGCGGAACGGCAUGCCCUUCACUGGGUGUGUUUUGGGAAGCAGGACUUUUACUUUGAAAAAAUUAGAGUGUUCAAAGCAGGCCUUUGCUCGAAUACAUUAGCAUGGAAUAAUGGAAUAGGACGGUGCUCCUAUUUUGUUGGUUUCUAGGAGAGCCGUAAUGAUUAAUAGGGACAGUUGGGGGCAUCCGUAUUCAGU